rnacentral:lncRNA from 1 species
UAUAAAAAGCAAAAGGUGAAUACAGGCUCAGUGAAAUAAUGCUGCAAGAGAUAUUCUACAUCUUCUCUGAAUUAGGAUCUGGAGCUGUCUCAUUGUCCACCUUCUCCUGAGCUAAGUGAUAUGAUUUUGCCGUAUCCCCACCCAAAUCUUGAAUUGUAAUAAUCCCCUUGAGUUGUAAUAAUCCCCAAGUGUCAAGGGUGGGGCCAGGUGGAGAUACUUGAAUCAUGGGGUCAGUUUCCCCCACACUGCCUGGUCUCCUCCAACUCCUCAAAAACAAUCCCAGCCUCCUAGGUAAUGGCAAACUCAACUGUCCAAAUAGUCAUCAAUGUAGUGGGCCCAGUCUGCGGAGCCUGGGCUUUGGGGAGUGGUUCAAACCCCAUGCUGGGCUGUACUGUUAAUGCCCCAUUUCCUUCGAGAAUCAAAGGGAGUGGCCCUCGGUCCUCAGGAGGUAUGCUACCAAAUGCAUGGCCCAGUCCAAUAGAAUGCAGGCACCUUUUCAAUCAGGUGUGUUUAGCAUUUUUUUUUAAGUACCUCAGGUCUCAGGCCAUUAACUCUACUCCAGCUUCCACUUGGUUCCCUCAUUUUGAACAUCCAGCAGCAGCUGCUGCUGCUUCUGCCGCUCCAUCAGUUGAUUCUGCAACAAUACUUUCAGCAACACACAACUUCUCAUGCUCCACAGCCAAGGCCACAGGGUUCUGCACAAGGUUCAAGCAAUCAAGAACAGGCCUGAAGGACUCAUAAAGCUGUUCUCAUUAAUCUCACCAGAGUCAGAAGUUUUCUGUAGCUUCAGGCAGCUAUGAUAUCUCAGGUUGGUUUUGCCCAGAAAAGAUUUGGUAAAGCCUCCC